AAGUCACCACAGGGGAGCCGCGUCAUGCCGCGGCUGAGAUGAGGGCGCAAGCCUUCGGACCCUCAAAGCUGAUCUGGAUAAUGCCAGCGUAGCAAGGAGGACAUAUAGAUGUU
rnacentral:ncRNA from 2 species